rnacentral:rRNA from 1 species
GGGUUGUGAGGUUAAGCGACUAAGCGUACACGGUGGAUGCCCUGGCAGUCAGAGGCGAUGAAGGACGUGCUAAUCUGCGAUAAGCGUCGGUGAGGUGAUAUGAACCGUUAUAACCGGCGAUUUCCGAAUGGGGAAACCCAGUGUGUUUCGACACACUAUCAUUAACUGAAUCCAUAGGUUAAUGAGGCGAACCGGGGGAACUGAAACAUCUAAGUACCCCGAGGAAAAGAAAUCAACCGAGAUUCCCCCAGUAGCGGCGAGCGAACGGGGAGGAGCCCAGAGCCUGAAUCAGUGUGUGUGUUAGUGGAAGCGUCUGGAAAGGCGCGCGAUACAGGGUGACAGCCCCGUACACAAAAAUGCACAUAUUGUGAGCUCGAUGAGUAGGGCGGGACACGUGGUAUCCUGUCUGAAUAUGGGGGGACCAUCCUCCAAGGCUAAAUACUCCUGACUGACCGAUAGUGAACCAGUACCGUGAGGGAAAGGCGAAAAGAACCCCGGCGAGGGGAGUGAAAAAGAACCUGAAACCGUGUACGUACAAGCAGUGGGAGCCUCUUAAUGGGGUGACUGCGUACCUUUUGUAUAAUGGGUCAGCGACUUAUAUUCUGUAGCAAGGUUAACCGAAUAGGGGAGCCGAAGGGAAACCGAGUCUUAACUGGGCGUUAAGUUGCAGGGUAUAGACCCGAAACCCGGUGAUCUAGCCAUGGGCAGGUUGAAGGUUGGGUAACACUAACUGGAGGACCGAACCGACUAAUGUUGAAAAAUUAGCGGAUGACUUGUGGCUGGGGGUGAAAGGCCAAUCAAACCGGGAGAUAGCUGGUUCUCCCCGAAAGCUAUUUAGGUAGCGCCUCGUGAAUUCAUCUCCGGGGGUAGAGCACUGUUUCGGCAAGGGGGUCAUCCCGACUUACCAACCCGAUGCAAACUGCGAAUACCGGAGAAUGUUAUCACGGGAGACACACGGCGGGUGCUAACGUCCGUCGUGAAGAGGGAAACAACCCAGACCGCCAGCUAAGGUCCCAAAGUCAUGGUUAAGUGGGAAACGAUGUGGGAAGGCCCAGACAGCCAGGAUGUUGGCUUAGAAGCAGCCAUCAUUUAAAGAAAGCGUAAUAGCUCACUGGUCGAGUCGGCCUGCGCGGAAGAUGUAACGGGGCUAAACCAUGCACCGAAGCUGCGGCAGCGACACUAUGUGUUGUUGGGUAGGGGAGCGUUCUGUAAGCCUGUGAAGGUGGCCUGUGAGGGUUGCUGGAGGUAUCAGAAGUGCGAAUGCUGACAUAAGUAACGAUAAAGCGGGUGAAAAGCCCGCUCGCCGGAAGACCAAGGGUUCCUGUCCAACGUUAAUCGGGGCAGGGUGAGUCGACCCCUAAGGCGAGGCCGAAAGGCGUAGUCGAUGGGAAACAGGUUAAUAUUCCUGUACUUGGUGUUACUGCGAAGGGGGGACGGAGAAGGCUAUGUUGGCCGGGCGACGGUUGUCCCGGUUUAAGCGUGUAGGCUGGUUUUCCAGGCAAAUCCGGAAAACCAAGGCUGAGGCGUGAUGACGAGGCACUACGGUGCUGAAGCGACAAAUGCCCUGCUUCCAGGAAAAGCCUCUAAGCAUCAGGUAACAUCAAAUCGUACCCCAAACCGACACAGGUGGUCAGGUAGAGAAUACCAAGGCGCUUGAGAGAACUCGGGUGAAGGAACUAGGCAAAAUGGUGCCGUAACUUCGGGAGAAGGCACGCUGAUAUGUAGGUGAAGCGACUUGCUCGUGGAGCUGAAAUCAGUCGAAGAUACCAGCUGGCUGCAACUGUUUAUUAAAAACACAGCACUGUGCAAACACGAAAGUGGACGUAUACGGUGUGACGCCUGCCCGGUGCCGGAAGGUUAAUUGAUGGGGUUAGCGGUAACGCGAAGCUCUUGAUCGAAGCCCCGGUAAACGGCGGCCGUAACUAUAACGGUCCUAAGGUAGCGAAAUUCCUUGUCGGGUAAGUUCCGACCUGCACGAAUGGCGUAAUGAUGGCCAGGCUGUCUCCACCCGAGACUCAGUGAAAUUGAACUCGCUGUGAAGAUGCAGUGUACCCGCGGCAAGACGGAAAGACCCCGUGAACCUUUACUAUAGCUUGACACUGAACAUUGAGCCUUGAUGUGUAGGAUAGGUGGGAGGCUUUGAAGUG